rnacentral:misc_RNA from 1 species
AAGUCCUAACAAGGUUUCCGUAGGUGAACCUGCGGAAGGAUCAUUCACAAACGAGUGUUUUAUGGCACUCUUUAAAAAUCCAUAUCCACCUUGUGUGCAAACAAUGGAAAAAAAGAGAAAAUAUUGGAUACUUUUUUGUAUUCAACUUCUCUAAAAUGUUUAUAAACUCCAUCAAAUUUUGAAUAAAAACAAUUUUUUUAAUAAAAAAAAUAUUAUACAACUUUCAACAACGGAUCUCUUGGCUCUC